rnacentral:rRNA from 1 species
GACGAACGCUGGCGGCGUGCUUAACACAUGCAAGUCGAGCGAAGCGGGGACGGGUGAGUAAAACGUGGAUAACAUCCUAUAAGACUGGGAUAACUUCGGGAACCGGGAGCUAACCAGGAUACUUCUAGAUGGGGCCGCGCUGGAUUAGCUAGUUGGUAAGGUAACGGCUUACCAAGGCAACGAUGCAUAGCCGACCUGAGAGGGUGAUCGGCCACACUGGAACUGAGACACGGUCCAGACUCCUACGGGAGGCAGCAGUAGGGAAUCUUCCGCAAUGGGCGAAAGCCUGACGGAGCCACGCCGCGUGAGUGAUGAAGGUCUUCGGAUCGUAAAACUCUGUUAUUAGGGAAGCGGUACCUACUCAGAAAGCCACGGCUAACUCCGUGCCAGCAGCCGCGGUAAUUC